CGGAAGACCUCCUGGCGGCUCCCUGGCGCCCAAGGGCGGCGCGACCUGGCCCUUGGUUCUGGCCGGGACGGGCCUGCCCUCCCGGACCCUCUGCCUGCGCUGGGAAAGCCGCCCGCGCCACCCCACGGCGGAAGCUGUGAACAAAUGAAUGUAGACACUGGGGACGUGGAGGAACUCCCCAGGUGAGGAAGGAUGACAGACAACGACAUGCUGCCUGCAAAGGAUCAAGAACUCCAGAUUUUGUAGGGGUGGAAGACAUUUCCUCUACCCUCUGGGUGCUUCUGGCUGGGCUGUGAAUCGAAUUGACAUGAGACAGAAUAACAGGAGAAAACCAAACAAAGGUGUAUAAUAUGUACACAUGGGAGAGACUCAGGAAAACUGAGCAGCUCACCAAAAGGGCAGAGGCUCUCAUCUUAAAUACCAUCUUCAGGGGCUGGCCCCGUGGCCGAGCGGUUAAGUUCGCGCGCUCCGCUGCAGGC